rfam:Ictidomys tridecemlineatus contig003534, whole genome shotgun sequence.
GGGAUUGUGGCUCAGCGGUAAAGCGCUCAUCUAGCAUGUGUGAGGCUCUGGGUUCGAUCCUCAGCACCA